rnacentral:rRNA from 1 species
UACAGAGGGUGCGAGCGUUAAUCGGAGUUACUGGGCGUAAAGGGCGCGUAGGCGGUUUAAUAAGUAAGAUGUGAAAUCCCCGGGCUUAACCUGGGAACUGCAUCUUAAACUGUUAGACUGGAGUACAGUAGAGGGUAGUGGAAUUUCCGGUGUAGCGGUGAAAUGCGUAGAUAUCGGAAGGAACACCAGUGGCGAAGGCGGCUACCUGGACAGAUACUGACACUGAGGCGCGAGAGCGUGGGGAGCAAACAGG